CACUGAUUUUAAUACAGAUAGAAUUGGAGGGAGGGGGGAAAAGCGAGGGAAACAUUUUUAUCCCAGUACACAGCAAAACCCUUAAGCAAGAAGAACAUCCCGCCACAUGCACCCAGAGACACUUUGCUCAGCUGUACAACACCAACUUAACUCCAGCUUUCAGUGGCUUUUCCCUGUACAAAGGCUUCGCUCUGACAAUGUCAUGUGUGUGGAAAGCUGACACUUAGAUCUUUUAAAAAGAAAUGAAGAAAAAUAAGCUGUUGACUUCUUGGUUAAAGUAUUUUCUUGUUCUAACUCAUGUUCUUAUGUCACUGGGCUAAAAAAAAAAGAGAGAGAAGGAGAGAGAGAUAUGACUUUCCUUGAAUGAUCUGUUUAACCUAAGCCAGAGGAAAAAAAAAGAAGUCAUUAAUUACUUAUGUGAGCUAUUGCUUCUGAAAGACAAUAAACCUGCCUGGUCGCCAUGGAUAUGACAUAUUUGCUCUGAAAACAACACAAUAAUUAGCAAAGGGGAAAGAUACAAGGAGAAUAUGCAAACUCCUGAGUUUAAAGCCAUAGUGUUUCCUUUUUUUCCCCCUCCUCUUUUUACUUGUCAGAGUAAAUUCUGUUUGCAAUUCAAAUCAAACAAAUAAACAGAAUACUUACAAAAAAUUUUAAAUGAUCUCCUGCACAUCAAAUCACACACACAAACACACACACAGAGAGGAAAAAAAAAAAAAAAAGGAAAAAAAAGGAAACAAUUUACAAGGAAAAAAUAUUUAAGUCUAGUAUGGACAGAUCAUAAAUCACUUGAUGUUUUCCGUAUAUGUGUAUGUAUGCAUAUAUAUAUAUCUAUAUCUAUAUAUGUGAAAUAUAAAUGUAUAUACACACACAAUUAUAUAUGAGUAAUAAGAGUUACAUACCCUAUUUCCUCUAGGAUUAUUAUUUUUAGGAUCUGUAUACAAGUACACCAAGAGGAAAAACAUCUCUCAUUUAGGGAGUGGAAACAUUUUGAAGAUACACUAAAAGAAAGUACAACAAGGGGUUCUUUUACUGUGUCAAACAUGCAUUAUGUUGGUAGUAUAUUUUUUGCAAAUCUUUGAACUUUUCUCUAAAAGAUGAGCAAAAAACCCACAACUGGUGUAUACUGUGCAUCAGCCUAAGCAACACACCGGCUUACCAGGACUUCUCAAAUUUUAAGCAUAAAAAAAAAUUUCUCACCUCAAUUACUUUAGUUCUAAAAGUGAUAUCACACUGAAUCACAUGUAAUAAUGCAAUGGAUAAGUUAAGAAAUAAUGAAAACUGAGUUAUAUGCAGAGAGACUUCUUUGAAAUAAUUUAUAAACGUUGCAGGGAAAAUGUUUUUUAGAUUGCUCUCUCAUUAAGAUGAGACAAAGACUAUUAAAACCUUCUCUAAUGCAGUAGCUUUCUGGAUUCUGACCUUCCACAUUUAGAAACCAAGUAAUAAAAACACCCUAACAAGCACUUUAUCUUUGGAGAUAUUUGACUUUGAACUUAUUUUAACUUUAAAAAGACUUGGAAGGUAUAAAAAUAACAAUAUAGUUGCCACAAGUUUCUGUUGUUGUUGUGUUGACAAAGCUAAAAAAAAAACCUUUAGAACAAAAUAAGCAGAUUAAGGAAACAUCCCCCUAAUUUAACUGUCUCUUUUUCUGUUGGUGUUUUUUUUUUUUUUUUUUUUAAACAAUAGUUUUUAGCUGGACGCUUUGAUCUUGAAAGGGUUCUGCUAUCUUGUGUGAUGAGGGGGGAAAAAUGAUCUGUUUUAAAUGAUGAUGCAAAAAAAAGGAUCAAAGCCCUGACUUUCUGUUAGCCAUAAUAAGUUCUGUCUUGCUCAAAGCUUCAACUUCAGGCUUUAAUAUAUAAAAUAUACAGGAGCCCAGUAAAAGCACUGAAAAGGUACAAAGUCUGAAAACAAAAGGGGACGCUGCUCCUUUAAACGUUUUAGUGCAUAUGGAGUUUGAUUUCUGAAAGAGAUCAGUUUAACAUCUCCAUAGAAACCAGCAACAGAUUAUCAUCAACAGAAUAAAUAACUAGUCUAAUAAAUUAAACAGGAGGCAUAAGAUCUGGAAACUUGAUUACUGAAGUUCAACAAUAUUCUCCCAUAAACUCUUCCAAGCCACCUUUAGGGUAGCUAACAAGGUGGCAGCGACACACAGAUAAAAGGUAGAUGGGAAGCAGGCAGGACUGCUGAAAUGAGAAGUCCGAAACCUUCGCAAGAAAUUAUACCACCCUGACAGUCAGCAAAUCAAUAGAGGAAAUAAAUUCAUCAAUGAAGUUUUGGGAGAGACAGGGGCUACUACUACUGCUCUUCCAGGGAGCGAGCUGCCAGGACCCGCUGUGCAGUGCAGCGCGGACAGGAGGGGGCACACACAAGGUGGACGUGCAGCUCCUGGCAAGUUUCACCUUUCCGACCCCAAAGAGCAGGAGGGCUCGAGCCCAUCGAUCCGACCUGCCGUGAUUCGGAGCGGCCUCGGGCCGCAGCCCACCCCUCAAAGUUUGCCGCACAAGUUGCCCGCCGGCGAGCGGCAGCGCCGGUCCCGCGCCCGCCCGAGCCCCUUGACAGCUCGCUCGCCGCUGCGGGCCGCCUCUGCCCUGCGCCCCGGCCGCCCCUCGCUGCUCCUCUGCUCCCCGGCACUGCUGCUCCGCGGCCGGCGGCGCUCGGGGCCCCAGCACGCCGCCGCUCCUCGCCUUCCCCGUCCGCGCCCCGCGCCCCCCCACCGGCCCGGCUAAUGAGUGACGGCUCGGACACCUGUUCCCCGUCCCCCGAGCCGCCAGCGCGGGCAGCCGCUCCCCCGGGAGUCCCGGCCCGUGCCCCCCACCCGCUGCCACCCCGGUCGUUCGUCCCCCCGCCCGCCACUACCCCGCCGCGCACGGGGGAAAGAAAGGGGGAAAGGGGAAGGAGGCGGAAGGGGGAAACUUCCUGGCUCCGGAUGGCAAAUCAGCUGCACAUUCUGCAAAUACCACCGGGAGGGCGGGCGUCGCGCAAAACCCGGCCUGGAGCCCGCCGCCGCCCGCCCCGGCCCGCCCGGGGUGGGGAAGGGGGGAGCGGCGGGAGGGAGCGGGCACGGAGCGGACUCGAUCUCCAGGCAGGCAGGGCAGGCAGUCAAGGGAGAGGCACCUGCAAAACACGGACUGGAUCACCCUCCCCUGGCAAGGGAAAAGGCGAGAAAGUGUCCCCAUUUCCCUGCCCGCGCGCGCAGCUGUCUGUCCCCUGCCCUGUUCCUGCACUAGCGGUUCCUCUUACCCAUCCGUCGUCCUUCCCAGAGAACCACUGUAAAUUUUAUAAAAUUUUCUAUUUUGCAGUCUGCUGACCCCGUUCACCUUAGUUCCCUGAGACUAAACUCCAUGGAGAUGGCGAAUAACUAGGUUGCAGGCAUCACAUUUCUGUGUUAAACUACUUUCCCCAGCUCCACCUUUCAUUUCACUGAGACAGGUGUUGAACGCAGACUGGUCUUCCUUCUGUUUGGAAGUUUGCUAAUUUUGAAGUGCUGUGGAGCUGGCCUACUUAGGAGGAGCACUUGGGCAAGGGCUUUUGAGGUGGUCCUGUUUGUCACCACAGAUCCUCUUCUGCCUGUGCUCCCCUGCAUGUGGUGGGAGGCUCGGACACCGUUGUGAGCUGUGCCUCUGGCAGCUUUGAGUCUCCUUCCAGACCACAGCUCACUCAAAGCCCAGUCAGCCCCUGGUGUUCACUGUACGAGCCCCAGAGUGUGCAGCUCCUCAGCCAGAUAGAGCAGGAGCAGGUUUAACAGUACUGGAAAAUUCAACAAUAAACCUCAAACAGAAGCUGACUGAGAUGCAUCUGGCAAGCCAGAAUGCUUCAGUACAGAUUCGGUUUUGUUCUUGCCCAUGGGGGUUCCUUGCCCACUGCUUAGGAUUUAUCUUGAACCAGAUGAUGUCUCUCAUUGGGAUUGAAGAUCCUUAACCAAAGAUCUCUAUGGAAAAUGUCUCUCAGUUUUGCUCUUUUUUGUUUCAAGCAUACAACACAGCAGUAGAAAAAAAUCCAAAAGGAAUCUUGGACAUUACUUUCAUUUCCUUUCCUCUUAUAGUUUUCUUUGCUGGCAUUUACUAAACCUGUGAGCCCUUACACAGUUAUGGCUCCCAUCUUCAGUAGUUCCUGCUUGCCUGAUCAUUUAACAAACAGUGGCACAAGAUCAUUGGCAGCUUAGGUUCCACACACUCCUCCAUCUCCAAAGAGGUUUCAUCUAUUCCCAGCCUUUCUUUAGCUACCAUAGCAUGUAGUGAUGCCAUUAGUUGCUGCCCUUGGGGAGAGGACAUCCUGCACACUGCAAGCUUGGUGCUCAUAAGAUAUUGGUUCUAUUGAGCUACAUAUUUCAAAUGAAUUUCCAUGGGCUGAAAUUGCAGGACACAUUUUUGCGAUUUAUCAUUCAGCAAUUAGCAAUGAUAGCAUUCAAACUCAUUGUUAGGUUGUCUGCUGUCCACAAUUCUUGAUUAAACCUAGAAAUUUGUCUCUUAAGCCCUAACUUCAUAGAAGUUGCUUUGCUUUUGCUCAGAGCCCUCAUUUCCACUGUGGAGUGGGGUGGGUGGUAGACAUGCAGGACAUGGUGUCUGUCAAAUCCCCUUGUGAGCUGCUGGGCAGCAGUAAGAUGUGAGCAUGAGGAGGUAAUACAAGUCAUUCAGCACAGAAGUGAGCAAAACACUUGGACUGAUGACAGGACAGCUGUGCGUCAAGCAUACAGGCUAUGUCUUUGCUGCAGAGUAGAGGUUAAUGCAUUUUAUUCACACCCAGCACAUACCCCAGAACACUCCAUCUGGCUAUGCUGUGCAAGUGCAGCUGGAGAAAACUGCAUACCCUUAAAAAUCACUCACACAAGAAAAAUUAUGCUAAAACAACAUGAGAAGGGCAUGAAUUAAAAUGCCAUAAGCAGAGAAAUACAUGCUGAGGGUUCUAACUUUGUCCUCAGGUCACCCUGCUUUCAGCAGAAGGGAAGAAGAAGGAAUGCAAAGGUGUUUGCUGUAGCUCUGAGGCUCAUGGCAAUACUCAGGCUGAGAUGCCAUGCUCCCGCCCACUCGGAGCAGGUGACAUGCUUUCCAUAGGCCUACAUGCCACAUUAAUUCCUCAAAGAAGCACUUAAUCUCUAGUAAAUGAGGAGCUGGAUGAGGUCUAGACCGACCAAACUACCAAACUGGACUGGCCCAGUCACCUAUGCCAUGUGGACUACCCAAGGGCCAUAAGGCGACGGGAGUGACAUUUUCCAAACCCAGCGCAGUGCAGGGUGCUGUCCAGGACCUCUGAUCCUGCUUCACAACUCACUGGAAGAAUGAAGAAAUCACUCAGACAUGCACUAUAAAAAGCCUGUGUAUUUACUUAGUUUCAUAAUGGAAAAUUAAAAGUAAUUGCAGAGGAGGAGGAGGCAUUUUUUUCAGUUGCAAGUACAAUAUUAUCCACUUCCAUAUUUUAUCAUUGGAGUGGCACAAGUAAUCAAGGAGUAUCAUGUGGUCAUUUUUGUCAAGUGCCUUUUUGUCACAGGCAACUAUUUCUUUGCAUGUGCCCAUUUCAGAAGAAGAAAUUGGUUAGAUCCCCAUCGUACCCUGCUCCAAAUGCUCUGUGCAGAGGAGGCAUUGCUUCACACUGGCACUACUGGGGCAAGAAUUAUUUAUAUUGAAGAGGAUCAGGCUCUGCAUUUUGAAACGUCUUUGCUUAGAAAUACAUAUGAUUAAUAUCAGUAUGCAGGUAUGUUAUAUAAAUAUUGAAACCUUGUGGACCUAAUUAAAGGCCUACAGACUGAUACUGACUUUUGGUUGGAAUAAAUGAGUGUGUACAAGAAUUUACCCUGCUCAGAAUCUGUCCUUACCUGUUUUAUUUGCCUCAAAUAUACAUAAAGGUUCAAGCAAAAGACUUGACACUUAACAAGAAACAUCCUGCAUUUAACCCCAGUUCUGCCCCAAAAUUUCCCAGUGACUUCACUAUUCCAUGUGUCUGGGUAACCAUCCACAGGUCUGGGGCUUAGUCCUAAGAGAGACUACUAAAGGUAACAAAUAAAUACA